rnacentral:sRNA from 1 species
UGCAUCUGAGGCCUGCGAGGAUGAGAACCUCCGGGGGCAGGAGGUUCGACUCGAGCGAAGCGAGAGAACGUUGCGUCAGCAA